UACGGAGGGAGCUAGCGUUGUUCGGAAUUACUGGGCGUAAAGCGCGCGUAGGCGGCUGUUCAAGUCAGAGGUGAAAGCCCGGGGCUCAACCCCGGAACUGCCUUUGAAACUAGAUAGCUAGAAUCUUGGAGAGGUCAGUGGAAUUCCGAGUGUAGAGGUGAAAUUCGUAGAUAUUCGGAAGAACACCAGUGGCGAAGGCGACUGACUGGACAAGUAUUGACGCUGAGGUGCGAAAGCGUGGGGAGCAAACAGG
rnacentral:rRNA from 1 species